rnacentral:rRNA from 1 species
GCUUACGGCCAUACCAGCCUGGGUACGCCCGAUCUCGUCUGAUCUCGGAAGCUAAGCAGGGUCGGGCCUGGUUAGUACCUGGAUGGGAGACCGCCUGGGAAUACCAAGUGCUGUAAGCA